rnacentral:rRNA from 1 species
CGGUGGGCAGGUUCCCGGAUGGCCCCAACAUGAACGCUGUUGUGAAAGUAUGCAGUCUGAGUUGAUUAUAGUAAUCAGUUAAAAUUUCAACAACGGAUUUCUUGGUUCCGGCAUCGAUGAAGAACGCAGCGAAAUGCGAUAAGUAAUGUGAAUUGCAGAAUUCAGUGAAUCAUCGAGUCUUUGAACGCACAUUGCGCCCCCUGGUAUUCCGGGGGGCAUGCCUGUCCGAGCGUCAUUGCUGCCCUCAAGCACGGCUUGUGUGUUGGGCCCCCGUCCCCCUCUCCCGGGGGACGGGCCCGAAAGGCAGCGGCGGCACCGCGUCCGGUCCUCGAGCGUAUGGGGCUUUGUCACCUGCUCUGUAGGCCCGGCCGGCGCCAGCCGACACCCAACUUUAUUUUUCUAAGGUGACCUCGGAUCAGGUAGGCACCCGCAUCC